rnacentral:rRNA from 1 species
GUYUUUUUGUUAAAAAUUUAAAGUCGGGCCUGCCCCCUGAAAUUUUAAAUGGCCGUGGUAUUUUGACCGUGCUAAGGUAGCAUAAUCAUUAGUUUUUUAAUUGAAAGCUGGAAUGAAGGGUUUGAUAAAAAAAUAACUGUCUCUAUUUAAUUUUAUUAAAAUUUUAUUUUUAAGUUCAAAAGCUUAAAUUAAAUUAAAAGACGAGAAGACCCUAUAGAGUUUAAUAAUAUAAAAUAAUUUUUAUUUUUGAAUUAAAUUAUUUAUUUUUUUAUAUUAUUUAGUUGGGGUGAUUGAAAAAUUUAAUUAACUUUUUUUAUAUUUUACCAUUAAUUUAUGAUUAUUUGAUCCAAUUUUUUUGAUUAUAAGAUAAAAUUACCUUAGGGAUAACAGCGUAAUUUUUUUAAAAAGUUCAAAUUUAAAAAAAAGAUUGCGACCUCGAUGUUGGAUUAAAAUUAAAUUUUGGUGUAGAAGCUAAAAAUUUAAGUCUGUUCRACUUUUAAAAUUUUACA